GCAAAACGAUGGUAUGAGAGCUGCAGUCUUUGAUUUCAAACCCCGGUUGCGACUUGGAUGAGGUGGAUGUCAAUGCCUUAGUUCUGUGCUCGGUCUAAUGUUUCUGAAGGAACCGAGCACCGAGCUAUAGUGUUUGAACCUCACAGCUUGAAUCUUCAUCAUGUUUGGCUAACUUGGUUAGGAUAGGUUAGAAAUUUUACAUCAACUUUGAA
rnacentral:misc_RNA from 1 species